rnacentral:rRNA from 1 species
CCUACGGGAGGCAGCAGUGGGGAAUCUUGCGCAAUGGGCGAAAGCCUGACGCAGCAACGCCGCGUGCGGGAAGAAGGCUUUCGGGCUGUAAACCGCUUUCAGCAGGAACGAAAAUGACGGUACCUGCAGAAGAAGGAGCGGCCAACUAUGUGCCAGCAGCCGCGGUGAUACAUAGGCUUCAAGCGUUGUCCGGAUUUAUUGGGCGUAAAGAGUUCGUAGGCGGUCGAGUAAGUCGGGUGUGAAAAUUCUGGGCUCAACCCAGAGACGCCACCCGAUACUGCUUGACUUGAGUUCGAUAGGGGAGUGGGGAAUUCCUAGUGUAGCGGCGAAAUGCGCAGAUAUUAGGAGGAACACCGGUGGCGAAGGCGCCACUCUGGAUCGAUACUGACGCUGAGGAACGAAAGCAUGGGUAGCAAACAGGAUUAGAUACCCUGGUAGUCCAUGCGUAACGGUAGGCGACGUAGGUGGUGGGUUUCGUUAGUUAACGUAAACGUACCGUCCGCCGGUCCGCGUAACGACAUUAAGUACGUCCCGCCCGUCGGGUAGGUACGGUCGCGACGACGUAGAACGUACGAAAGGUAAGUUAGUACGGUUCGUUGUAGACGUUGCCGACGGCGACGACGAGGGAGGAGG